CCUACGGGAGGCAGCAGUGGGGAAUAUUGCACAAUGGGGGAAACCCUGAUGCAGCGACGCCGCGUGAGUGAAGAAGUAAUUCGUUAUGUAAAGCUCUAUCAGCAGGGAAGAAAAUGACGGUACCUGAGUAAGAAGCCCCGGCUAACUACGUGCCAGCAGCCGCGGUAAUACGUAGGGGGCAAGCGUUAUCCGGAAUUACUGGGUGUAAAGGGAGCGUAGACGGCAGUGCAAGUCUGGAGUGAAAGGCGGGGGGUCAACCCCCGGACUGCUCUGGAAACUGUACGGCUGGAGUGCAGGAGAGGUAAGUGGAAUUCCUAGUGUAGCGGGGAAAUGCGUAGAUAUUAGGAGGAACACCAGUGGCGAAGGCGGCUUACUGGACUGUAACUGACGUUGAGGCUCGAAAGCGUGGGGAGCAAACAGGAUUAGAUACCCGAGUAGUC
rnacentral:rRNA from 1 species